rfam:Clostridium sp. FS41 CLFS41_contig000102, whole genome shotgun sequence.
GGAUGUAACUCUGGAGAAACCCGCUUCAGUGCGGGGGCCGAAGGUGCAAAGUGCGCAGAGCGCACCAAUCUCUCAGGCAAAAGGACAGAGAAAGAUUU